AAUGAACGCUGGCGGCAGGCCUAAAACAUGCAAGUCGAACGCUGUAGCAAUACAGAGUGGCGCACGGGUGAGUAAUACAUGGGAAUAUGCCUUUUAGUACGGAACAACGUUUGGAAACGAACGCUAAUGCCGUAUGGUCCCUUCGGGGUAAAGAUUUAUCGCUAAAAGAGUAGCCCUUGUUGGAUUAGCUAGUUGGUGAGGUAAUGGCUCACCAAGGCGACGAUCCAUAGCUGGUCUGAGAGGACGAUCAGCCACACUGGGACUGAGACACGGCCAAGACUCCUACGGGAGGCAGCAGUUAGGAAUAUUGGACAAUGGAGGAAACUCUGAUCCAGCCAUGCCGCGUGAGUGAUGAAGGCCUUCGGGUUGUAAAGCUCUUUAGCCGACGAAUAUAAUGACUGUAGUCGGAGAAUAAGCCCCGGCUAACUUCGUGCCAGCAGCCGCCGUAA
rnacentral:rRNA from 1 species